CCUCUAAUCUAGAUGAAUGAAUUUGCUUCCCCCUGCUGUCAGUGAGGCCAACAACAUUUUGGUCUUGGCUGUGCAUUUCCCUGGAUGAACGAGAGUUGCGAGUGCCACUCUCCGGCUUCCUGUUAUUUUUCCUUAAUAAAAAUUAAUUUACACACACAAUAGUUGCAGGGAAGACUUCUCAAAGGAUGGAAUACAWCUGGUACAGACCAGAUUAUCUGCACCUUGCGCUGUGUCUAGGGGCUGUGCUGGCAAUUGUGCAGAACGGGGGAGCACAGAGCUGCCCCCAGGGAAAGGAACAGCCCCAACCAUUUAAUAUCAGGUUCAGCUACAGAAGCAGCAGGAUUAAGCCUGUCUUUGCAGUGCUCAAAGGAUACGAUACUGGAAUAUCAACAAGAACAGCACAUUGCCUGGGAUCAGCUCUGAUUGCUCCAGCAGCCAAGACCAAAGGCAAACGUGGCCCCAGGUCUCUUCAGUGCCUACCAUUUUGCCAGUAGCAAAAUCUCUCUGGAUCGGGACUUCUUGAAACAAGUUUCCAACAUCUGCACCGAGUCCUGGCAAGCCCGUCUACCCUACCUUAUAAGACUGCAGAUAGGGACUAAUU